GCAGCUGUGACGUCAGUAAGCUCUGCCCAUGUCCCAAGCCGGCUGCCAGGACUGGAGCUAAUGGAGGAAAUUACCGAAGAUCCACACCACGUAAUGGGACAAGGAGAGUACAGUUGUCAUCAGUGUCACCUGCACUGUUGGUACCGACAGGUUAGUGCAGGUGACACUGGUGACAGAUUUCCUUUAAAGAGCAUUGCUAUGAAGAGUUACACAUCUGUUUAUGAAUCUGUAUGAGGUUUGGCUUAUUGCAUGGGAGGCAUAGAGGAGGCGGGGUUUGCCGCAGUGUUCAGCAGUGGAGAAUGAAGAGCCUCUGAAGAGACCCUGGAGGAGUCAUGGAGUGUGCAGGCAGGAUACUGAAGAGCGCCUGUCUUUAGAUGUCGGAGGAUGAGAUGUUCCUGUUGUCCCCGUUGGGACGUUGUUUCUUCUGUUCGGUUCUUCGGAAGACGACAACCCCGUGGCUGCUCUUGCAACGGCGCUCCGGUUCCAGAGAUCCGUCGUCAGGAUGUGGAGUCAAGUUGGAGUCUAGGUUCGGCUUUCCUGUGUCGGCUAUGACGUCGGGUCAAGAAAGAGAAGGAGUUAUGGCACAGCAGUCCCCUUUAUAGAAGUCAUCGGAUAAUGAUUGGCUACUAGUCCUCAAAGGGGCUGCUGGGAGAUGUAGUUUGCAAAAUGUUUUUCUUUCAAUACAUUAACCUGAAAGUUUAAUUUUCUGCU